rnacentral:rRNA from 1 species
UGGGGAAUAUUGCACAAUGGGGGAAACCCUGAUGCAGCGACGCCGCGUGAAGGAUGAAGUAUUUCGGUAUGUAAACUUCUAUCAGCAGGGAAGAAAAUGACGGUACCUGAGUAAGAAGCCCCGGCUAACUACGUGCCAGCAGCCGCGGUAAUACGUAGGGGGCAAGCGUUAUCCGGAUUUACUGGGUGUAAAGGGAGCGUAGACGGAAGUGCAUGUCUGAUGUGAAAACCCGAGGCUCAACCACGGGACUGCAUUGGAAACUGUGCUUCUAGAGUGCCGGAGAGGG